UCCGUCGACUUUAAAAAUCGUGAGGGUUCAAGUCCCUCUAUCCCCAAGA
rnacentral:tRNA from 2 species